UACGUAGGGUGCGAGCGUUAAUCGGAAUUACUGGGCGUAAAGCGUGCGCAGGCGGCUUUGCAAGACAGAUGUGAAAUCCCCGGGCUCAACCUGGGAACUGCAUUUGUGACUGCAAGGCUAGAGUACGGCAGAGGGGGAUGGAAUUCCGCGUGUAGCAGUGAAAUGCGUAGAUAUGCGGAGGAACACCAAUGGCGAAGGCAAUCCCCUGGGCCUGUACUGACGCUCAUGCACGAAAGCUAGGGGAGCGAAAGGG
rnacentral:rRNA from 1 species